AGACCAGGAAGCGGAUCCCGUGGAAUGACGGUGACGCCGCGGCGGGCGGAUUGACUUCUAAAGAAUCUUGGUACGUGAGGAAGAAACCCAGAAGAGGAAGAGGAAAGCAAAGGAGUCAGGGAUGGCUCUUCCUCAGGGACUCAUCCAAGGCCAAGGAAGUCCUCACUGACUCUUUGAGAACUCUAUAUAUGCAAACCCUUUGGGAUGGCCACUAAAUUUGUCACAGAGUAUGGUAACGUGGUUGACUGAACCACAGCCAUGAAAGUGAGCUUCCAGCUCUUCUGCUGUUGCACCGCAGUCCACAUUGCCAGCAUUGAUGGAACGGGCAUCAGCCUCCAUCUUCUCCUCAAUGGACGUGAUCACUGGGCCAGCAUUGCCUGGAGGGUCUAUUGACAUUCAGGGACGUGGCCAUAGAAUUCUCUCAGGAGGAGUGGAAAUGCCUGGACCCUGCUCAGAGGACUCUUUACAGGGAUGUGAUGCUGGAGAAUUAUAGGAACCUGGUCUCCCUGGAUUUUCGGUCUGUCACCCAGGCUAAAGUGCAGUGGUGUCACCUCGGCUCACUGCAACCUCCACUUCCCAGGUUCAAGCAAUUCUCCUGCCUCAGCCUUCCAAGUAGCUGGGACUACAGAUAUCUCUUCCAAAUGCAUGAUGAAGACAUUCUUCUCAACAGGGCAAGGCAAUACAGAAGCGUUCCACACAGGGACAUUGCAAAGACAAGCAAGUCAUCACAUUGGAGAUUUUUGCUUCCAGAAAAUUGAGAAAGACAUUCAUGGCUUCCAGUUUCAGUGGAAAGAAGAUGAAACAAAUGACCAUGCAGCACCCAUGACAGAAAUCAAAGAGUUGACUGGUAGUACAGGCCAACAUGAUCAAAGGCAUGCUGGAAACAAGCAUAUUAAAGAUCAGCUUGGAUUAAGCUUUCAUUCGCAUCUGCCUGAACUGCACAUAUUUCAGCCUGAAGGGAAAAUUGGUAAUCAAGUUGAGAAGUCUAUCAACAAUGCUUCCUCAGUUUCAACAUCCCAAAGAAUUUGUUGUAGGCCCAAAACCCAUAUUUCUAAUAAGUAUGGAAAUAAUUCCCUCCAUUCUUCAUUACUCACACAAAAACGGAAUGUACACAUGAGAGAAAAAUCUUUCCAAUGUAUUGAGAGUGGCAAAUCCUUUAAUUGUAGCUCACUUUUAAAAAAACAUCAGAUAACCCACUUAGAAGAGAAACAAUGUAAAUGUGAUGUAUAUGGCAAGGUAUUUAAUCAGAAGCGAUACCUUGCAUGCCAUCGUAGAUCUCACAUUGAUGAGAAACCUUACAAGUGUAAUGAGUGUGGCAAGAUCUUUGGUCACAAUACAUCCCUCUUCCUUCACAAGGCGCUUCAUACUGCAGACAAACCUUAUGAAUGUGAAGAAUGUGACAAAGUUUUCAGUCGCAAAUCACACCUUGAAACACAUAAGAUAAUUUAUACUGGAGGGAAACCAUACAAAUGUAAGGUUUGUGACAAAGCUUUCACAUGUAAUUCAUACCUAGCAAAACAUACUAUAAUUCACACUGGAGAGAAACCUUACAAGUGUAAUGAAUGUGGCAAGGUUUUUAAUCGACUGUCAACCCUUGCACGCCAUCGUAGGCUUCAUACUGGAGAGAAACCUUAUGAAUGUGAAGAAUGUGAAAAAGUUUUCAGUCGCAAAUCACAUCUUGAAAGACAUAAGAGGAUUCAUACUGGAGAGAAACCAUACAAAUGUAAGGUUUGUGACAAGGCUUUUGCAUAUAAUUCAUACCUGGCAAAACAUAGUAUAAUUCACACUGGAGAGAAGCCUUACAAGUGUAAUGAAUGUGGCAAGGUUUUUAAUCAACAAUCAACUCUUGCACGCCAUCAUAGACUUCAUACUGCAGAGAAACCAUACAAAUGUGAAGAAUGUGACAAAGUUUUCAGGUGCAAAUCACACCUUGAAAGACAUAGGAGGAUUCAUACUGGAGAGAAACCAUACAAAUGUAAGGUUUGUGACAAGGCUUUCCGGAGUGAUUCAUGCCUUACAGAACAUCAGAGAGUUCAUACUGGAGAGAAACCAUACAUGUGUAAUGAAUGUGGCAAGGUUUUUAGUACAAAAGCAAACCUUGCAUGUCAUCAUAAACUUCAUACUGCAGAGAAACCGUACAAAUGUGAAGAAUGUGAGAAAGUUUUCAGUCGCAAAUCACACAUGGAAAGACAUAGGAGGAUUCAUACUGGAGAGAAACCGUACAAAUGUAAGGUUUGUGACAAGGCUUUCCGGAGGGAUUCACACCUGGCACAACAUCAGAGAGUUCAUACUGGAGAGAAACCUUACAAGUGUAAUGAGUGUGGCAAGACCUUCCGUCAGACAUCAUCGCUUAUAAUCCAUCGUAGGCUUCAUACUGGAGAGAAACCUUACAAGUGUAAUGAGUGUGGCAAGACCUUCAGUCAGAUGUCAUCCCUCGUAUACCAUCAUAGGCUUCAUAGUGGAGAGAAACCUUACAAGUGUAAUGAAUGUGGCAAGGUUUUUAAUCAACAAGCACACCUUGCACAGCAUCAGAGAGUUCAUACUGGAGAGAAACCUUACAAGUGUAAUGAGUGUGGCAAGACCUUCAGUCAGAUGUCAAACCUUGUAUACCAUCAUAGACUUCAUAGUGGAGAGAAACCUUGAAAGUGUAAUGAGUGUGGCAAGACCUUCAGUCAGAUGUCAAACCUUGUAUACCAUCAUAGACUUCAUAGUGGAGAGAAACCUUAAAAGUGUAAUGAGUGUGGCAACACCUUCCAUCACAAUUCAACCCUUGUAAGUCACAAAGCCAUUCAUACUGGAGAGAAACUUUACAAGUGUAAUGAAUGUGGCAAGGUUUUUAAUCAAAAAACAACCCUUGCACGUCAUCAUAGAAUUCAUACUGCAGAGAAACUUUACAAAUAGGAAGAAUGUGACAAAGUUUUCGGUUGCAAAUCAAACCUUGAAACACAUAAGAAAAUGCAUGCUGAAGAGAAACCACACAGAUGUAAGGUUUAUGACAAGAUUUUUGAAUAUAAUUCAUACCUGGCAAAACAUAUUAGAAUUCAAACUGGAGAGAAACCUUACAAAUGUGAUGAGUGUGGCAACACCUUUGGUCAAAAUUCAUACCUUGUAAUUCAAAAGGCAAUUCGUAUUGGAGAGAAACCCUACAAGUGUAAUGAAUGUGGCAUAGUUUUUAAUCAACAGUCACACCUUGCAAGUCAUCAUAGUCUUCAUACUGCAGAGAAAUCUUACAAAUGUGAAGACUGUGACAAAGUUGUCAGUCACAAAUCACAGCUUGAAAGACAGGAGAAUUCAUACUGGAGAAAAAACAUACAAAUGUAAGGUUUGUAACAAGGCUUUUGGGAGUGAUUCACACCUGGCACACCAUACUAGAAUUCACACUGGAGAGAAACCUUACAAGUGCAAUGAGUGUGGCAAAGCCUUUAGUGGGCAGUCACCACUUAUUCACCAUCAAGCAAUCCAUAGUAUAGGGAAACUUGACUAAUAUAAUGAUUGUCACAAAGUUUUCAGUAAUGCUACAACCAUUGCAAAUCAUUGGAGAAUCCAUAAUGAGAGAUCUUACAAGUGUAAUAAAUGUGACAGAUUUUUCAGAUAUCGUUCAUAUAUUGCUAUUCAUCAUCGAACUCAUGCUGGAGAGAAACCUUAUAAAUGUCAUGAUUGUGGCAAGGUCUUCAGUCAAGUUUCAUCCUAUGCAAAACAUAGGAGGAUUCAUACAGGAGAGAAACUCACAAGUGUGAUGAUUGUGGCAAAGCGUUUACUUCACAUUCACACCUCAAUAGACAUCAGAGAAUCCAUGCUGGACAGAAAUCUUACAAAUGUCAUCAGUGUGGUAAGGUCUUCAGUCCGAGAUCACUCCUUGCAGACCAUCAGACAAUUCCUUUUGGAGACAGUUGUUUCAAAUGCCAUUAGUAUAGCAAGCCAUCAAGCAUUAAUUGACAUUACAGUUAAAUGAGCACUGACCUGAGUUUGAGUUGACUUAACAUUGAGUUUAAGCAUUAAUUGACAUUAAACUGUUUAUGUUAAGAGGACUGGGCUGGGCACUGUGGCUCACGCCUGCAAUGCCAGCACUUUGAGAGGCCAAGACUGGUAGGUCACUGGAGGUUAAGAGUUUGAGAACAGCCUGGCCAACAGACGGGAGCCACUUUUCCCAGCCUGUGUUUUCAUUUCUAUUCUUUCUUUCUUUUUUCUUUUUUUUGUUUUUGUUUUUGAGAUGGAGUCUCUUGCUCUGUCAUCCAGGUUGGAGUGCAGUGGCAUGAUCUUGACUCACUACAACCUCCGCCUCCCAGGUUCAAGCGAUCCUCCUGCCUCAGUCUCCUGACUAGCUGGGACUACAGGUGCAUGCCACCACACCUGGAUAAUUUUUUGUAUUUUUAGUAGAGACUGGGUUUCGCUGUGUUAGCCUGGAUGGUCUCGAUUUUCUGAUCUUAUGAUUCACCCACCUCUACCUCCCGAAGUGCUGAGAUUAUGGGCGUGAGCCACCGUGACUGGCCUGUUUUUUGUUUCUUUAACAAAAAGUUAUGGGGAUUUCUAUGAGUAUUGUGUUGAAUCUAAAUCACAUUCGGUUAUAUAAUCAUUGAGCAAUACUAAUUUUUCCAAUCAGUAUGGAUUGUAUGUGUAUUUAUAUGUUUUUAAUCAUUUUGAUCAAUGUUUGUAGAUUUCAAGGUACAAACUUCUCACCUUUAUAUGUUUAUUCCUAAAUAUUUCUUACUUUAAGCUCUUUAGCAAAUGGAAGUGGUUUUUAAUUUUAUUUUAAAAUUAUUUAAUGUUAAUGUAUGGAAAUUCAACUAAUUUUUGGUGCUAUUAUUCUAUUCUGCAAAUACACUGAAUAUGUUUAUUAGUUCCAGUUGUAUUUUGGUUGACUGUGAUUUUCUUCACAGAUCAUGUCAUCUACAAACAAAUAAAAUUUGACUUCUUUCUUUCUGA